UUGAAUCAAUAUUUGAGGAACUCUUCAAUUGGAACGACAGUAAGGACAAAAGAUUUUAGGUGCCGAGGAAUUUAAAAUGGCACAACUGUCAAAAUUACUGCACACGCGAGUGCAUAAGGAAAAAUUUAUGCAUUUAUUUAAUGAACUUAAUGAGUUUUUAUUUUACAAGUACAGUACAACAACAAUAAUAUGAUCAUUAGCAAUUCGAUUUCAAUUCCCAGGGGCCUAAAAUCUUUUAUGCUUAAGAAUUGCAAAGUCGGGAUUUCUUAGGAAAUUCCGAGGUUGCGUUUUUUUUUGUUUUUUUUUUAUUCACCCUGUACAGGGUGUCCCAAAAAACCCGGCAAAACCAUUGAAAUAACGUGUUGUUUAAAUUUGAAUGCCCUAGCAUGCCCGGGGUGGAGGGUUGGGCAAAUACAAAAAAUCGCACACAGAAAAAAUCCAGAGAAAAUAUCGUGCACAACAAACCUACUGAAAAAAAAAAUCGAGCAAGAACUAGGGGUGAUUUUUAAAAUCGUAGUGCAAUUAUUAUUAAUCAUUAAAAUGGGGUUUUACGACAAUCGGAAAAGUUUAUGUCUUCUUCUCCCCGUCGACGAACUUUCCUGUAAAAAUUUUUUAGGUUAUUUUAAGAAAAAUAUCGUGCAAAGGAAUGUUGCAGAAAAAGUUCUUGCAAGCAAUUGGGGGAUGAAAAAAAAUUCGUGCACAGAGAAAUUGCCCAACCCCCCCCCCAAAUAUCUGAUGGUCCGUCCCUGAGCUGAAAGCAAAGAUGCGUAAAAUGUUGGCAAGGGUAAAUAUAUUAAAUAUUGACUUAUUAAGAAAUUAAAAUUUCUUUGUAAAGCGCACGACUUUCUAGAUCUGCUCUUGGGAAUUUAAAACAGUUUCUUAACGGUUCUUUAUGCAUAAAAUUUACUUACGUCAAGCAAAUUACGUGCGUUGAUGCACGUGUGGGUUCAGCAGAGUGCUGAGGCAUUCAAAUUCUAACAAUACAUUUAUUUCAAUAGUAUUCGUUUUGUUUGGGACACCCUGUAAACGUUAAUGGAAAUAAUAAUGCUAUUAAUUUAAAAGUAUUUCAAUUGAAAGCACAAAGGAGCCUGACCAGACUAAAAUAUGGGAAUUGGAAAAACAGCUUGAUUUCCUAAAAGAGGACAGCGAGAAUAUUUGCCUUAAAACUGAAAACAAAGAUCUAACUGAGAGGACUAAUAAUCUAUCUUAUAUUUUAGCAGACCUACAAUAAAGAUAGCUUAAUUACUGCCAUGCGCCUGUUAGUACUAGGGUCGAGUGCGAAAAAGAAAAACAACGUCUCGAUAAACAUGCAAAAUUGUGAUAAUCAAAGAAAGUUCAAUGAAGCGGAUGAUUGCACAAUACAAUAAAGAGACGAUGUAUUGAAUUCAAGUAUUCAAUUAAAAAAUAAAUUUUUCGCGCUUCAAGACCAACUAAAAGAAGCCUGUCAAUCCAACAACAGCUAAGGCAAUUCCUCAAGAUCAAGCACGAAACAAGAAGAAAAAAAAGAAAAUCUAAAUCAAAUAAUAAGCAAUCUACAAACGAAUCCAAUAAGAAUCUAUCAGACGACCAGAUACGGUUACAGCAAGAAGAACAACAACAACCAAAGACAAAGAUAUCGGUCGUUGUAGCAGGUGACUCCAUGAUAAGAUACGUUAAAGGCUGGGAACUAUCAACUGGUCAGCAAAAUAUAUCAGUCAAGUCGUUUUCUGGCGGAAAUACUGACGAUAUGAGUGAUUUCUUGAAACCAACCAUACGCAAGCAUCCAGACAAGCUGAUUAUACACGCUGGAACCAAUGACAUAUGUACUGUAGUUACCGACCUAGCAAAGCAGUUCGAAAAAGAUUCCGGUAAUACAGAAAUAGUUAUCUGGUCCUUGGUCGUGGGAAACAAUGGUCCGGAACUUGCGAAGAAGGUAAAACAAACAAACAUUGUAUUGAAAUCAAAUUGUAUAUAUUUCAAACAAUCUAACAUUUUUAGAUAACAACAAUAUUAAUUGCAAUUAAAUCGAGAAGGCAGUGUUCUACUGCAAAAUAAUAUAGCAAACAUUUUAAAAUCUAAGGAUUGAAUCGAGAAAAGGCCGGGAAACAUUCCAAAAACAAGGGGGGUUAAAAUGGCUAUGCUUAAUACAGUAUAGCCAACCUGCCAAAACACCUUGAAGAAAUACGUUUGAUGUUACUUGAUAAAAAAUUGAUAUUUUAGCGCUUAAUGAAACCCGCCUUGGCUGUUCCAUUUCUGACGAGCUACUUAGUGUCGAUGGUUGUGACCCGGGGGCUGUAAAAUUAUUGUAAAAGGGUGUUUUAUAGCUCCCUGGUUAUGACCUAUUGCGUCCCGAUCGAACAAGAAAUGGAGGAGGUGUUUGUAUAUACGUAAGAUGUAACAUAAAUGAGUAAAAUUACCAAAAACGUCCUGAUCUAGUUCCAAAUUACCUUGAAGCUGUCUCUUUAGAAGUUAGACAAGCGAAUAGUCAGUCUUUUUUAUUUCAAGUGUGUCCUACAAAUAGAAAGGCUUUUUCAACUAAUCGAUAUCGAAAACAAAGAGGUCUACAUCUUAGGCCAAAUUUAUCUACUGGUAAAAAGCUUUAAGAAAUAAUGGAACUAUAUCAGCUGACACAAAUAAUCAAUGAUCCAACUCGAAUUACUGAACAUACAAAAUCACUGAUAGAUGUAUGUAUUACGUCUUCACCUGAGAAAACUAUUUCUUCGAGAGUAAUACAUCAAGGUAUCAGCCAGCAUAGUCUUAUUUAUGCGAGAAGGAAACUUAAUUAUGUUCCAAAAAUUGCAUGGAUCACGGAAUUCAAUCGAGUACAGAAAUUUCAGAAAAUUUAAUGCUGAAAGCUUUCUGAAUGACGUAUAGGC